rnacentral:rRNA from 1 species
ACAUACCACUUGUUGCCUCGGCGGAUCAGCCCGCUCCCGGUAAAACGGGACGGCCCGCCAGAGGACCCCUAAACUCUGUUUCUAUAUGUAACUUCUGAGUAAAACCAUAAAUAAAUCAAAACUUUCAACAACGGAUCUCUUGGUUCUGGCAUCGAUGAAGAACGCAGCAAAAUGCGAUAAGUAAUGUGAAUUGCAGAAUUCAGUGAAUCAUCGAAUCUUUGAACGCACAUUGCGCCCGCCAGUAUUCUGGCGGGCAUGCCUGUUCGAGCGUCAUUUCAACCCUCAAGCACAGCUUGGUGUUGGGACUCGCGUUAAUUCGCGUUCCUCAAAUUGAUUGGCGGUCACGUCGAGCUUCCAUAGCGUAGUAGUAAAACCCUCGUUACUGGUAAUCGUCGCGGCCACGCCGUUAAACCCCAACUUCUGAAUGUUGACCUCGGAUCAGGUAGGAAUACCCGCUGAACUUAAGCAUAUCAU